CCCUUAGACGUUCUGGGCCGCACGCGCGCUACACUGACCGGUGCAACAAGCAUCCGUCCUUGGCCGACAGGCCCGGGCAAUCUUUGAACGCCGGUCGUGAUGGGGAUAGACUUUUGCAAUUUUUGGUCUUCAACGAGGAAUUCCUAGUAAACGCAAGUCAUCAACUUGCAUUGAUUACGUCCCUGCCCUUUGUACACACCGCCCGUCGCACCUACCGAUUGAAUGGUCCGGUGAAGCCACCGGAUUGGCGCGCACCUCGGUGCCGCCGAGAAGUUGGCUAAACCUUACCAUUUAGAGGAAGGUGAAGUCGUAACA
rnacentral:rRNA from 1 species